AAUCCCAAAAGAUGUCCCUCUCUUUUGGCCGCUUUAUAAGACGUGCAGCUGCCUCCAAUUCACCUGGCCAGACAGAUUAGGAAACAAUACUUUGACAAAGCUGGAAAGUAGUGCUACUGUUUCAAGAUAGAGGGAGUGUUAUGGAAUACUAGAGUGUGAUCUGUCAGCAGAGGAAACUGAGUGCCACACAGGUCGUGAAGAACUCAUUUUGACCCUGCAUCAUCACAUUCCUGGUUCACUAAUAUACAUCCAUCCAUCCAUCCAUUUUCUAACCCGCUGAAUCCGAAUACAGGGUCACGGGGGUCUGCUGGAGCCAA